rnacentral:sRNA from 1 species
GUCUGCACUUGUCGGGGAAGGGUGAGAACCUUCGAUUAAGGUUCGACUCGAGCGAAAGCGAGAGAACGUUGCCAACGGCAACGGCCCGUGGGUGAGGAGCGAAGCGACGAAUAAUCCUUCCCCCACCACCA